ensembl:snoRNA
AAGACUAUACUUUCAGGGAUCAUUUCUAUAGUUCUUGACUUGAGAAAUGUGUUUCUAAAGUGUUCAGUCUCGCUAACCACGAUGAUGAGUUGUGAUAUUUCCUUCUGAGCAAGAAGCUGACAGAGAAAAAUGGUUUAAAUCAUCUGUUCUCUGUCAUUGAUGAUUGUUCUAUGCUUCUUCUUAGAGCAAAGAGGAAGGGAAUAUGAUCAGAGUGGCC